rnacentral:lncRNA from 1 species
AAUAUCAAAUUAAAUACUAUUUAACUCCAUUAAUUUAAUUAUUUAAUAUAGUCUAAUCCAAUGAUACAGGCACUUCAGACGUAGCCCAGGUCUUGAUGGUGCUUUCAUGGGACAUCAUUUUUCUACAUUAAUUCAAUUAUAUAAUGUCUUUGUUGCUGAGCUUUACAUGUAAUUUUACGCCACAUCGAAAUUGUACACUCUGAGAGUUAACUUUAAUGUUACUAAGAUUUCAGCUUCUUCUUUUCUAAAGAGUGACAACUUCAUCCUUACGUGACAAUUUCGCACUAGGUGGUACAACUAUUUACACAUGGUAAAUUGAUACACUCCAAUUAAUUUUACUGCUUCCUCAUCUAAAAAAUGAGCAAAUAUUGUUACUGAUAUUUUAGCGAAUAUCUGAUAAUUUUGUAGAUUUCAAGUGGUAGGAUCAUCCAUCCCUCUUUAAAGAUUCAAAAAAAAAUUUCUCGAUGAUCCUUGGGGGAUAUUCCAAUAUCAUUUUGUUUAACGUUCUUACGAAAUGCUAGCUUUGUAACUUUGCUUUUUUCCAUAAUAUAUUUUUCCUCUCUUGAAGUUUUGAAAAUUAGUGAAAAAUCACAUGCUGGAAUUCAUGUAAAUUAGGAAGUUUACUAUUAUUUGUUAAA